UACGUAGGGUGCGAGCGUUGCCCGGAUUUAUUGGGCGUAAAGGGCGCGUAGGCGGCCACGCACGUCCGUUGUGAAAUCGCUCGGCUCAACUGGGCGGGGUCAGCGGAUACGGUGUGGCUAGAGCAAGCUAGGGGGCAAUGGAAUUCCCGGUGUAGUGGUGGAAUGCGUAGAUAUCGGUAGGAACACCAGUGGCGAAGGCGGUCUCCUGGGGCAUUCUUGACGCUGAGGCGCGAAAGCUGGGGGAGCGAACGGG
rnacentral:rRNA from 1 species